rnacentral:rRNA from 1 species
UACAGAGGGGGCAAGCGUUGUUCGGAAUUACUGGGCGUAAAGGGCGCGUAGGCGGCCUGCUAAGUCGAACGUGAAAUCCCUGGGCUCAACCCCAAGCCUGCGGUCGAUACGGGCAGGCUAGAGUUCGGUAGGGGAGACUGGAAUUCCUGGUGUAGCGGUGAAAUGCGCAGAUAUCAGGAGGAACACCAAUAGCGAAGGCAGCUCGCUGGGACGUUACUGACACUGAGGCGCGAAAGCGUGGGGAGCGAACAGG